rnacentral:rRNA from 1 species
UAGGGAAUCUUCGGCAAUGGACGAAAGUCUGACCGAGCAACGCCGCGUGAGUGAAGAAGGUUUUCGGAUCGUAAAACUCUGUUGUUAGAGAAGAACAAGGACGUUAGUAACUGAACGUCCCCUGACGGUAUCUAACCAGAAAGCCACGGCUAACUACGUGCCAGCAGCCGCGGUAAUACGUAGGUGGCAAGCGUUGUCCGGAUUUAUUGGGCGUAAAGCGAGCGCAGGCGGUUUCUUAAGUCUGAUGUGAAAGCCCCCGGCUCAACCGGGGAGGGUCAUUGGAAACUGGGAGACUUGAGUGCAGAAGAGGAGAGUGGAAUUCCAUGUGUAGCGGUGAAAUGCGUAGAUAUAUGGAGGAAAACCAGUGGCGAAAGCGGCUCUCUGGUCUGUAACUGACGCUGAGGAUCGAAAGCGUGGGGAGCAAACAGG